AAAUAUCGACUCAUGAAACACCUCAUGCACUUACAACAACUCUGGAAGCCAUUUAAAUCUGUAUUCAACUUCAUCAACCUUUCGAUGAUCACAUAAAAUUCGGUUCACUUAGGAUUUAACUUGCCUUCCUAUCCAGACCGAAUCACACUUUUCCAAGGUGAAAACUUCGAAAAUAUAAAACCAUCUGUCUUAUACACUCGAUUAGUGGCAUAUCCCUCUGUUAAUCUCUUUUUCCAUUCCUGGUUACUUUCAGGUUAACUUAAUCACCUGAAUACUUUGAGGAGACUCAUCCAUAGUCUCAGGGCCUACUAAAACUCUUUCGUGAUCGAAUCUUUCUCUACCCAGAAACAUUCCAUUCACAAGUCAACAAAAACCGACUCACAUGACACAUUUCAUGGUCCUUAUGGCGUUACUUCGGAAACUGCACAACCAACAUACUUAAGAAACUCAGCAGUUCCGUAACCCAAUUCUCUUUUCCAUAAAACAAAUAAGUACUGUUGCACUGUCUGGGAAAGGUUGUUACUCAACACUGGAGUAAAUGUACUAACUUGUUACGUUAACCAACUAUUACUUUAAAUUCGACCAUAACCAUCCUAUGUACAAGGAAACUUGUACACAUAAUCCAAAGUAAUAUCUUUCCAUUUCCACUGCGAAACAGAAAAUAGUUAUCUCAAUCCAAAGGUUUAUCUUUUUCUGCCUCAAUCUGCUGACCAAAUAAAACUGUCGAAUGGUAUGAUAAAUCUUAUUACUUUUGGAAUAUUGCAGAAGUUAAACAAUGUACUUCGUCCAAAAUUGCUUGCUUUAAAUCCUUAGCAUUAGGCACAUACUUUUUGUUUUCUUGUAUCCACAUACCAUUUGAUUCACGAAUCAUGUACUCAUUCUUUUUCCCUUCUUUCUCUGCCUUGAUUAAUUCUUAAAUUUCCUCGUCAAACAUUUAAGUUUAAUCGACAAAGUUGCAUACAAGUUUGUGAUGCCUUCAGAAUUGGCUAAGGCACAUAAUGUAUUUUGUGUUCGAUGCGUUGUCACUAGGUGGCAGAGUCGUCUCAUGGAAUUCUGGUGCAACUAUUGAGAAUUAAACUGGAUCUAAUUAGUGAGGAGCCAAUGACGACUUUGGAUUGGAAAAAGAAAGUACUGAGAAUGACAGUAUAAGUGGUAAAAGUUUUGUGAAGGAAUUAUUCGGUGGAAGAAAAUGGCGUAGGAGAAAAAGAAUCGGAUGAGAGAGAUUUAUCUGAGGCUAUUGUUGGAGUAUGGUUGAUUUAGUUGGUUGCUGGAAUUUCGGGGACGAAAUUCUAUAAGGAGGGAAGAUUGUCACAGCCCGUCCCGGAAUUAUAAAUUAUGAGGACGUGAAAGUACGAAAAUAACCUUAAACGUGUCAAGGUGCGUAAGUGUGAAGUUGUUCAAUCUAAGUUCAUAACUUUUGGUUAAUUAAAAUAUCUUGUGGGAUAAGAACUUAGAAUUAGGUUUACAUUUAUUGUAUUAAUUUUAGUUAAGGACUGAGAAGGGGCCACGUGGGAUCCCCAUUCCUUAUUUCCCUCCCUAAAACCCGUAACUCCUUCUCUCUCUUUUUCUUCUUUCAUCUCAGAAAACUCUCUCACUCUCUCUCUUACUCUCGAACAUACGGACUCACACCCAACCUCAAUCAAACCUCCACGAACGUCCAAUUUAAGACUACCAUCGUGAUCCUGAGGACUUCACGAACACAGGGAUACCAAAUUCAGGUGAGUUUCAUUUCGAAAAACCCUAGUUUUUAAAGCCCCGUGAAAUGGCACUGUUCAUGAUCUUCUAAAUGACUACGUUUUAGGCUAAAACAAGCUCACAGUGAGCUUAAGGAGGUCACGAGGAGGCUCGGAGUGCCUCGUUUGAACAAAAUGGACGUCGGGAUCACUUGGUUCGAGUUUGGCCGGAUUUUGGAAUUAUUGGAAAGGUAUGAUCUCGUUGUUUUUAGGCCUUAAAACUAGUCCAACGCGAUAGUAGAUGUUUAGGACUU
rnacentral:lncRNA from 1 species